AUUGAACGCUGGCGGCCGGCUUAACACAUGCAAGUCGAACGAGUGGCGGACGGGUGAGUAAUGCUUCGGAAUCUAUCUUAUGGAGGGGGAUAACUACGUGAAACUGUAGCUAAUACCGCAUACCAUCAGAUGAGCCCAAGUGGGAUUAGGUAUUGGGUGUGGUAAAGGCUCACCAAGCCGACGAUCCCUAGCUGGUCUGAGAGGAUGACCAGCCACACGGGGACUGAGACACGGCCCAGACUCCGACGGGAGGCAGCAGUGGGGAAUAUUGCGCAAUGGGCGCAAGCUGAUGCAGCCAUGCCGCGUGAAUGAAGAAGGCCUUCGGGUUGUAAAGUGCUUUAGGUAGCGAGGCGUUAACUACAGAAGAAGCACCGGCUAACUCCGUGCCAGCAGCCGCGGUAAUUC
rnacentral:rRNA from 1 species